UACGGAGGGUGCAAGCGUUAUCCGGAUUUACUGGGUUUAAAGGGUGCGUAGGUGGGCCUGUAAGUCAGUGGUGAAAUCUUCAAGCUUAACUUGGAAACUGCCAUUGAUACUAUAGGUCUUGAAUUAUCUGGAGGUAAGCGGAAUAUGUCAUGUAGCGGUGAAAUGCUUAGAGAUGACACAGAACACCCAUUGCGAAGGCAGCUUACUACGGAUUGAUUGACACUGAGGCACGAAAGCGUGGGGAUCAAACAGG
rnacentral:rRNA from 1 species